GUGAUGCUUGUAUUGACUAGAAUAGCCUUGUUGGGUGAAAUAAGGGAAUAUCACACUUAAAACUUAAAACACUCGAAAGUGGGGCUUAAACAAUGGGACCAUUAGUGAAUAUAGCAGGCCCUAUUGUAUAUGGCCUAGCCACGCCCGAUGCUCAAGGGCGUCAACGGCUCUGAAGUUGAAAAGAAGUCAAAACAAAAUCACUUGCCUCAGAAGUGAAUGACCUUUCCAGAUGCCGCCCCACAGAGUGCUGCCACGGAAUAACCCUCGAGCUGCCCCAUUCUUGCAUUUUAGGUAUGGAGCACGGACACAUACGCAACCGACAGUUCUUGAAACCAUAUUACCCUUGACCUCUGGGCCUGCAAGAGUAUCGACGGCACGCCUCAUUGACGUUUGGUCUCCGGGCGUAGGACUACAGACAACAGGCGUCACUGCAACUCGUAGGCCUUCUACACAAACCCAAGGCCAACCGUCUGUGGUAACAACCCUGGCCGCUUGGUCUCCGGACGUAGGACUAGGCCUACAGACGACACGCGUCAUUGCAACUCGUCGAUCCACUCGCUUGGCGGGGCAAGCCCCGGGACCUGCGAGACAGCCUGCCGCCGUUGCACCUUUGGAACCGAAUCCACCACCUCAAGGUGCCAACGCGCGACAUCCCAAAACGAGAGUUGGAACCAACAGGAAUCGUCCACCACAAUUGCGCCUAUAUGAAUCUACAGGAACAGCUUCAAGGAAAGGCUCCAUGUAUAAAGACCUCGAGGGACCGCGCGCAAAUGCAUCAGCCAAAGCUCCACGACUUGUGGCCAUAAUGAGGAAUCGCGAGGAGCAAGUCCCAUCACAGUCUCGGCCGACGCAGUAAACACAUGAAUUGGUGAACAAAAAAUAAAACAAAACUAAAACUC